UGGGGAAUUUUGGACAAUGGGGGAAACCCUGAUCCAGCAAUGCCGCGUGAGUGAUGAAGGCCUUAGGGUUGUAAAGCUCUUUUACCCGGGAUGAUAAUGACAGUACCGGGAGAAUAAGCUCCGGCUAACUCCGUGCCAGCAGCCGCGGUAAUACGGAGGGAGCUAGCGUUGUUCGGAAUUACUGGGCGUAAAGCGCGCGUAGGCGGACUAUUAAGUCAGGGGUGAAAUCCCGGGGCUCAACCUCGGAAUUGCCUUUGAUACUGGUAGUCUAGAGUCCGUGAGAGGUGAGUGGAACUCCGAGUGUAGAGGUGAAAUUCGUAGAUAUUCGGAAGAACACCAGUGGCGAAGGCGGCUCACUGGCACGGUACUGACGCUGAGGUGCGAAAGCGUGGGGAGCAAACAGGAUUAGAUACCCCUGUAGUCC
rnacentral:rRNA from 1 species